rnacentral:rRNA from 1 species
GACGAACGCUGGCGGCGUGCUUAACACAUGCAAGUCGAACGGAAAGGCCCCGCUUGCAGGGUACUCGAGUGGCGAACGGGUGAGUAACACGUGGGUGAUCUGCCCUGCACUUCGGGAUAAGCCUGGGAAACUGGGUCUAAUACCGGAUAGGAGCCAUUUUUAGUGUGAUGGUUGGAAAGUUUUUUCGGUGUAGGAUGAGCUCGCGGCCUAUCAGCUUGUUGGUGGGGUAAUGGCCUACCAAGGCGGCGACGGGUAGCCGGCCUGAGAGGGUGGACGGCCACAUUGGGACUGAGAUACGGCCCAGACUCCUACGGGGGGCAGCAGUGGGGAAUAUUGCACAAUGGGCGCAAGCCUGAUGCAGCGACGCCGCGUGGGGGAUGACGGCCUUCGGGUUGUAAACUCCUUUCGCUAGGGACGAAGCUUUUUGUGACGGUACCUAGAGAAGAAGCACCGGCUAACUACGUG